rnacentral:rRNA from 1 species
UACGUAGGGUGCAAGCGUUGUCCGGAAUUAUUGGGCGUAAAGAGCUCGUAGGCGGUUUGUUGCGUCGGCUGUGAAAUCCCGAGGCUCAACCUCGGGUCUGCAGUCGAUACGAGCAAACUAGAGUGUUGCAGGGGAGACUGGAAUUCCUGGUGUAGCGGUGAAUGCGCAGAUAUCAGGAGGAACACCGGUGGCGAAGGCGGGUCUCUGGGCAACAACUGACGCUGAGGAGCGAAAGCGUGGGGAGCGAACAGG